ensembl:lncRNA
GCGUCUGCCCCACUGAGCGCCCUCCUCCCGCUCCUCCUCCCCACCUCCCCUCCCCAGCCAAGUACGGAAACCCGCCGGGGCUGGGCAGCCGUGGCUCCCGGCAACCCGCGCCCUCGCGGGGCUCCGCGCACUCAGUUCUAGUCCGACCCCAAUCCCUCAGUCCCAGCUCAGUGAAACUAACCCUGAAGCUGCCCGGAAGGGCAAGAGCGGAAGGCGCUGGGGACCGGCGGCCGGGCCCGGGGUUCCUGCCCCUGCCCUCUCCUGCUCCCCAACAGGUAGCUCACAAAUGGGCCGCGCGCUCUCGCUCUGCCUCCCUCGCUCUCUAGAACGCUCGCUCCGUCCCGGUUACCUGGGCGGGCUCCAGGAUGGUACCGCACGGGAGGGCUCCUUGUGCGCUGCGCCGCGGGAGUAAAUGGCAUUAAAGAAAAAAGGGAAAGAUACAAAUAAAAAAAAAAAAAAAUUAAGGAAGGGGAGUCGUUGCUGGGUCAAUUAGCUCAGCCCGGGGAGCAAGAGAGCAGAGCCCCCCAGCGCCGCGGCCGGCUAAGCCCGUUAACUCAAGUCUGCGGGGGUGUCCCGCCCCGAGCGGGGGAACGCUGACCCGCAGAAGUUUGCCGCCGGGGUGCCAGGAGGUGCGCGCAGAGCGGGGUGACUAGGGGCUUCCCCCUUGAAACAAGUGAAGGCGAUGGUUAGUGCUGUCAAUCUUGGCAAUCAGUGUGAGCGGCCAUGUCAGACCUUCAUGACUGGAAAAAUCUGCCUGGAGAGGCCAGAGCCUAGAAGCCAGUGAAAAGAAUGCCUGGCACCUUUCCUGCCAGCUCCUUCACACCUGGUCCCAAAACUCCCAAGAGUGCUCCUUGACCUCAGAGGCCCAACGGGUAAACCCAGACUGGUGUUUCUAUACUAGACAAGAGUCAAAUCUCUUCUGGCUUUUGAUUUUGUCUUUGUUUUAUUUUGUUUUUGUGAAUGACUGUGGCCUGGCCCAGCUGUCCUUCCAAAGCCUCUCUCUGGCCCUAGAACUCAACUACAGGAGCAAAAAAUCUCUGGAAAUCUUAUAAAGGGCAAAAUCGAAUGACCCCUCCUAAAUGCCUGCAGAGUUAAAGCAGAGAGAAGAGGAGAUAAUUUUAAGUCCCAAAGCCUAAAUUCUCAGGGUAGAGC